GGGAUUGUGGCUCAGUGGAAGAGCGCUCGCCUAGCACGUGCAAGGCCCUGGGUUCGAUUCUCAACACCCCCU
rnacentral:tRNA from 1 species